CCUACGGGGAGCAGCAGUGAGGAAUAUUGGUCAAUGGCCGAAAGGCUGAACCAGCCAUGCCGCGUGAAGGUCAGUGCCCUAUGGGCGUUACACUUCUUUUGUGCGGGAGCAAUAAUGGUCACGUGUGGCCAGACGAGGGUACCGUACGAAUAAGCAUCGGCUAACUCCGUGCCAGCCGCCGCGGUAAUACGGGGGAUGCAAGCGUUAUCCGGAUUUAGUGGGUUUAAAGGGUGCGUAGGCUGUGAGGUAAGUCAGCGGUGAAAUGCCCCCGCUCAACGGGGUGAAGUGCCAUUGAUACUGCCUUGCGGGAAUGCGGAUGCCGUGGGAGGAAUGUGUGGUGUAGCGGUGAAAUGCAUAGAUAGCACACAGAACACCGAUUGCGAAGGCAUCUCACGAAUCCGCGAUUGACGCUGAUGCACGAAAGCGUGGGUAUCAAACAGGAGUAGAUACCCCAGUAGUC
rnacentral:rRNA from 1 species